rnacentral:rRNA from 1 species
AAGACCUUGCACUUUUGGAGCGGCCGAUGUCUGAUUAGCUAGUUGGUGGGGUAAUGGCCUACCAAAGCUUCGAUCAGUAGCUGGUCUGAGAGGACGGCCAGCCACACUGGGACUGAGACACGGCCCAGACUCCUAUGGGAGGCAGCAGUGGGGAAUUUUGGACAAUGGGCGCAAGCCUGAUCCAGCCAUGCCGCGUGAGUGAAGAAGGCCUUCGGGUUGUAAAGCUCUUUCAGCCGGGAAGAAAAGGUUGCGAUUAAUAAUCGCAAUUUAUGACGGUACCGGAAGAAGAAGCACCGGCUAACUACGUGCCAGCAGCCGCGGUAAUACGUAGGGUGCGAGCGUUAAUCGGAAUUACUGGGCGUAAAGGGUGCGCAGGCGGUUUUGUAAGUCAGAUGUGAAAUCCCCGGGCUUAACCUGGGAACU